AUCACUUCUCGGCCUUUUGGCUAAGAUCAAGUGUAGUAUCUGUCUUAUCACUUUAAAAUUUUAUUUAAAAAAUUUUUUAUUCCUUUUUUUUAUUAUUAUACUUUAGGUUUUAGGGUACAUGUGCACAGUGUGCAGGUUUGUUACAUAUGUAUCCAUGUGCCAUUUUGUUUUGCUGCACCCAGUAACUCGUCAUUUAGCAU